UUGAAUCAGUUUUACUAUUGACUUCUGACCAACUUCAAGUUUUUAUAUCAAAAAACACUAACUUGCUGAUAUAUACUACCAGCUUACAUACACCCCACAAAAAUGUGGGAAAGCUUCAAAGCAACUCAUCAAAUAAGUUCAUUUUUAAUAAAAGAGGUGUCUGGACUGGUCUAUGUGCACCUCGACUAUUUGACCAGGUACGUGCUAGAACAUCCCGCUAGCACAUGUAUCAAAUAACUCAUCCCCGCCAAGGCUAAGGCAAAUGGAAAGGACUCACGUGUCGUUAUUUUACUGAGAACUCAUCAAGCAAAUUAAUAGAAAUUCCUACAUUGCAAGAGGUGUUGCACCAAUGGAUAAAAGCAUUUACUUUCUUAAUAUACCAAACAAAACACAGAAACAUCUGCACCAUAAAAACAGAAAAUAAUACAAAAGCAGAACGAAGUUACAGUCAUAUUGUUAGAAGUAUGUAUCCUCAAAAUCAGUCUGAGAAAGGGACAUUACCUUCCGGAAAACAUUAUCCGUAGAAUUUGUUUCUGCAAAUCUUUUGGACUUCACCACCACCUGAGGUUGCUAAAUGGUCUGACAUGCAAGAUAGAACAUGUAAUGAAUCUACUCAAAGAGACAAAUCAGUCUAUCAUAGAAAGAAAAUCUACAGAUAUUAUUAGUCAUUCUAAACUGAUGAAGUUGCACCAUGUUAGUAAAUGAUAGACAUCUACAGAUAAAUACUUC
rnacentral:lncRNA from 1 species